rnacentral:rRNA from 1 species
AUACGGAGGAUCCGAGCGUUAUCCGGAUUUAUUGGGUUUAAAGGGUGCGCAGGCGGCCAUUUAAGUCAGCGGUUAAAUCGUGGGGCUCAACCCCAUUCUGCCGUUGAUACUGGGUGGCUUGAUUGCGGUCGAGGUUGGCGGAAUUCGUUGUGUAGCGGUGAAAUGCAUAGAUAUGACGAAGAACACCGAUUGCGUAGGCAGCUGACCAGACCGCAAAUGACGCUCAUGCACGAAAGUGCGGGGAUCGAACAGGAUUAGAUACCCUGGUAGUCCGCACAGUAAACGAUGAAUACUUGUUUUCGGCGAUAUAAUGUCGGAGGCAAAGCGAAAGCGAUAAGUAUUCCACCUGGGAGUACGCCGGCAACGGUGAAACUCAAAGGAAUUGACGGG